UAUGAAUGACAUGAUGAUAAAGCCCCCCCUAAAACAACCUCUGGCAAAAGAAGAAAUAUGUCACUUCUGUAGCAAUUACUGAGGUAGCUAUCCAUUCAGAACAAGGAUGCCAACCCAAGCCCACAGGAUAAUGGAAAACAUCCGUGAAAAUACCAAUGAAGAUUUCCCCCGCUGAUAUAAGAAGGAAGAGAUUCAAUUUCCAAGCAAUAUAUAGUGCAGUCCAUAUGGUGCAGAAUGAUGUAAUGCCAACAUAUUGGUCUUCGACUGUAAUAAAGUUCUGUUCUGUUCUGCUUUGUAA